rnacentral:lncRNA from 1 species
CGGCGUUUUGCAUUUGCGCCGAUUUUUUACAGGUAAUUUACAGGUUAAUUACAGGUGAAUAGAUAUAAGAAGAUGUAGUAUGAGUGCAAAUGAGACAACUCUCCAUCCAAGUCAUGUUAUUUUUCAUUUAUCAUUAUAGACCUCUUCCGUCAUCCAGUUGUACACUAUAUUCACAUACUUUAAAAUCAAGAAGUAAAAACCUUAGAUAAAAGCACUCUGGUUUAUACUAAAAUGACGAAUUGAAAAUCUAUUUACAGCAUUCAAAUCCAUAAAAACGGAAUACAUUAAAAUCAUAAAUCUGUUCUUGCUGAGUAUUUAUAGGCAACACAUCUAAUAUAUUCCUUUCUUGUGAUUUCGUCUCUUCUAUAUUUG